UACGUAGGGGGCAAGCGUUAUCCGGAAUCAUUGGGCGUAAAGCGCGUGUAGGCGGUUCUGUAAGUCCGCUCUGAAAGCCCAGGGCUCAACCCUGGGAGGCGGGUGGAUACUACAGAACUGGAGUACGGAAGAGGAGAUUGGAAUUCCUGGUGUAGCGGUGAAAUGCGCAGAUAUCAGGAGGAACACCAAUGGCGAAGGCAGCUCGCUGGGACGGUACUGACGCUGAGACGCGAAAGCGUGGGGAGCAAACAGG
rnacentral:rRNA from 1 species